UGAAAGCCCGGGGCUUAACCCCGGAACGGCUUUGGAAAAUGAGCAGCUAGAGUGCUGGAGAGGUAAGCGGAAUUCUUAGUGUAGCGGUGAAAUGCGUAGAUAUUAGGAGGAACACCAGUGGCGAAGGCGGCUUACUGGACAGUAACUGACGUUGAGGCUCGAAAGCAUGGGUAGCGAACAGGAUUAGAUACCCUGGUAGUCCAUGCCGUAAACGAUGAGUGCUAAGUGUUGGGAGGUUUCCGCCUCUCAGUGCUGCAGCUAACGCAUUAAGCACUCCGCCUGGGGAGUACGACCGCAAGGUUGAAACUCAAAGGAAUUGACGGGGGCCCGCACAAGCGGUGGAGCAUGUGGUUUAAUUCGAAGCAACGCGAAGAACCUUACCAGGUCUUGACAUCCAGUGCAAACCUAAGAGAUUAGGUGUUCCCUUCGGGGACGCUGAGACAGGUGGUGCAUGGCUGUCGUCAGCUCGUGUCGUGAGAUGUUGGGUUAAGUCCCGCAACGAGCGCAACCCUUGUCAUUAGUUGCCAUCAUUAAGUUGGGCACUCUAAUGAGACUGCCGGUGACAAACCGGAGGAAGGUGGGGAUGACGUCAAGUCAUCAUGCCCCUUAUGACCUGGGCUACACACGUGCUACAAUGGACGGUACAACGAGAAGCGAACCUGCGAAGGCAAGCGGAUCUCUUAAAGCCGUUCUCAGUUCGGACUGUAGGCUGCAACUCGCCUACACGAAGCUGGAAUCGCUAGUAAUCGCGGAUCAGCACGCCGCGGUGAAUACGUUCCCGGGCCUUGCACUCACGGCCCGUCA
rnacentral:rRNA from 1 species